GAUGAACGCUGGCGGCGUGCCUAAUACAUGCAAGUCGAGCGAACAGACGAGGAGCUUGCUCCUCUGACGUUAUCGGCGGACGGGUGAGUAACACGUGGAUAACCUACCUAUAAGACUGGGAUAACUUCGGGAAACCGGAGCUAAUACCGGAUAAUAUAUUGAACCGCAUGGUUCAAUAGUGAAAGACGGUUUUGCUGUCACUUAUAGAUGGAUCCGCGCCGCAUUAGCUAGUUGGUAAGGUAACGGCUUACCAAGGCAACGAUGCGUAGCCGACCUGAGAGGGUGAUCGGCCACACUGGAACUGAGACACGGUCCAGACUCCUACGGGAGGCAGCAGUAGGGAAUCUUCCGCAAUGGGCGAGAGCUUGACGGAGCAACGCCGCGUGAGUGAUGAAGGUCUUCUGAUCGUAAAACUCUGUUAUUAGGGAAGAACAAAUGUGUAAGUAACUAUGCACGUCUUGACGGUACCUAAUCAGAAAGCCACGGCUAACUACGUG
rnacentral:rRNA from 1 species